UACCCAUACUUGAAAAUCAUGCAAGAACAAACACAAAAACAUGGAUCUAGGCAUGAGCCUUCGAAUCAAAACAUGACUUUUCUUCAAGAACACAUGAGCACUAUUUUCUCUUUCUAAAACCGGACUUUAAGUCGGUGCAUGGCUCACAAAUCUUUUCGAUCAUGCAGUGCAAUAUCAUAAACAUACAGAACAACAAGAGCGGAUCAAGAAUCUAACCUUAGAACACGGAUCUAACGGUUUGACCUCAAGAAAUCAAGCUCGAAGGUUUACUUUCUCACUCUAAACUUCUUCUUCCCCCUAGAGCUUCUCUCUCCAAUUUCCAAAACAAUAUACAACAAAUGAUAGGUUCUCACACUCGGUUCUGGGUUUAGCAUUCUGCUGGGACACGUGGCGGUGACUGGUUGGAUUUCCCUGAAAAGGUGGCUGACAAACUAGACAAAGCAUGGGCGAAAGGGUGUUUAACAAGUAAUGCGGUAUGGACUCUCUGACGAGGCACUGACAUCGGCCAGGAACAAGGCAUCGGCAAGUAGGAUGACAAUGAUCUCGGCUAAGAAGGACAACACUUGACUAAGCUGUGCCACACCUUGGCCUAGAUGUGCCACACCUCGGUCUAGGUCGUACCAAUCUAGGAGCAGGAUCACUAGGGUUCAAGGGUGACAUCUCGGCCUAGAUGAUACACAUCUCGGCCUUGGUGAUGAACACCUCGGCCUAGAUAGUGACAUCUCGGUCAGUAUGCCAGGACGAAGGUAGAGGUCAAUCAAAGUGGUUCCAAGAUGGUUCUAGGUAUAGGAUGACCUCGGCUUGGGAUAAUCUAGGCUUGACAAGACUUAGGCGUGAGACUCCAAGGAAGGAACAAAGCAUGCUCAAAACAAUAGUCAAAACAAGACAAGAUUCAUGAUUGUAACUUAACAAGACAAGGUUAUGCGAGUGCUCAUGAACAUGACUACGACAUGAAUGUGGGUUGUUACACAUUUUUUAUAUAUAUUAUGUUUGUGAGUAUAUUUUUAUUUAGUUGGGUAAUGAUUUCAGUUUCCGCUUGAAAUUUCAAGAUUUUAUCUUUGUUAGUUUUCGCGAUACCUCUCUCUCUCUUUUUUAUUUUUAUUUGUGUUUGUGUUUGGCUGGGCAAAAAACAAGGUAGAUGCAGUUUAUAAGUAUGUAAAGGGUAGAAAUGGCUCAUUUUCUCCAGAGAAGGGGUUUCAAUAUGAGGUUGGUACUUCCUCUGGUGCAAAUGUUGGUCCAGAAGUAAUUGGACAGCACAAAUCUGUGUCAGAAUAUAGUUAUAGUUUUGUUAAUGGACACUGUCCUUCUGCACUGGAUCUUUCACAGGCAGGUUGUUCCAAUGACCAGAAUGAUGUUACAAGUUCAGUAGAGAAGUUGUGCGCGCUGAUAAUCUCAUUCCCAUCAAAGAGACCAACUGGCAGAUGAUGAAAAAUGAACAAAGACUGUUCUGUAUGAACUGAACAAAAAGGGUUUUAUUCCCUUUGUUCCAGAUUUCUUUGAUCCCUCCUCCUCUCCCUCCUCCUCUCCCUCGGCUACCACCGACAGCAACUCUCCACUGCCGCAUGGCCUCCACCGCUACAUCGCCUCCAUCAGCUUGCUGUGUUUUUUAUUUUGAAAAAAUUUGAAAGAGGAUAACUCAAAAAAAAAAAAAAAA